AACGUGGUUCCGAGAACCUUGGAGAGGGUGUGGAUCCUCUGUGAAGGGAGAUGUUUCUGAGUGUAUGAGUGUACAUCUUCACCUUGGUUCUCCAACUUCGGAUAAGAGAACGGAUUGGCUUAGGUUAAAGCAUCUAGAGACCACAGGAUUGCUUCAGGUCAGCAGAACCCACUGGAGAAAAAAAUAUUGAAUCUAGGUGGUGUACAUGCAGAAGCAGCAAGAUAGCUGAUAACUCAAAAAAAUCAAGAAGAGUAUGAAGCACUCUAUAGGGAGCAAGAUCUUUCCCUUGACUACUGGCUUGCCCAAAAAGGGUGUUAUUAUAAUAAAAUAUUGGUGGAAAUGAUGAAGAACAAGAGAGGCAGUGAAAUCAAGAAGAAAUUGGAGGGGAAAACAACCCAAAGCACAGAGAUUAAAAAACGAUACUAUUUGGUACCUGAGAGAGAGAUGAAACAGAGAGAGGCACAUAUAUCAAGCAGAACAGAUCAAAGAAUUUAAGAGGGAAGCAUUUAGACAAUUAAGAUCCUCUAGUAAAACAACAUUCUCAAAAAUUUUGCCAAAAUAGCAUGGUAUCCAGUAUGCACAGAGAAGAAAACAGGUAAAAGAGAGGGAACAGAUACAAAUUAAAGAUCACCAGGAACGCAUGCUUUGAGGGAAAAAACUUACAAAGACUCAAGGAAGAAUUCUUGAGAAAAAGCCAGAACCACCCACUUACAGUGGCGAAGCAUGGGAGAAUAAAGAAAUAAAAGAGUUUGAAAGCAUUAUUGCAUAUCAAGUUUUCCAGCCAGUCAGAUUAAAGUGAAUAUUCUUAUGGAAACGUCUCAGAAUACAGAAGAAAAUACAAUUAUAAAACCUUAUCAAAAAAAAUUCUUAACUGUGCCACCCUUUUUUGAGAAUGCAAAAAAA